AUGGAGUCCCACCCAGACACCGUGCCGUACAUCUCCCUCGGGAUGCUCGGCGUCCAGGCGCUCGGCUACGGCACGGCGCUGGUCACCGACGCCAGUAUCCUACUCGCGUGGCCAAGGACGUUCGACGGCGACGACAACUACAGGAUGCAGGUCCGGGGCUUUGCACUGGGACAUGGACUACUUCGUGAAAGCUCUCGCCCUCCUCCUCACACUGCGCCUGGCGCACAAGGUGCGGCGGGCCAGGGCGCGGAUGCCGCUCGAGCCAGGACGCGUCCCGAGCGACAUGGCCAGGCUGCACCUUGUCGGUCUCCUGUUCGUCCUCGCCGUGCACUGGCUGCUGGCCACGGAGAAUCCUAUACCCAUAGCCGACCCUCGUACAACAUGGCGGCCAUGGCGGAGCAGUACAUGGGUCUGGUUGCAGACUACAUUCCGGAGGACGCCGUCGCCGCCGACCUGGCCGCCCCAGCUGUCGAGAAGGUGUUUGACGCUAGUUGA
rnacentral:rRNA from 1 species